CUGGGGGGGGCGGUGCCUCUCUCCCCCUCCCCCCCCCAGCCGCCCGGCGCAGCCCCCGGGCGGGCCGCGGUGGGGAGCAGCCCCCGGGGCAGGGGAGGCCGCCCUGGCCCAGCCCAGCCCAGCCCCACCACGAAGUUUGGGGGCCGCAAGUGCGAGGAGGUGGCGGCGGAGCGAGGGGAGCGCAGGCCCGGCCGGGGCGGCAGGUGCUCCGGGGCACGAAGCCCCCUCGGACAGGAGCGCGCGGAGGCUGUGUUUUGGAAAGGCGGACAUUCAGAUAACUCUGCCCAACUGCUUAAUUUAAAAAUAUUCUGAAGUGUAGAAAAAGAAACGGCCCGAAUCGCCCCAUUCCUCAGAGGAAGGGGAGAGGGAACACAUCGGCUUCGGUGAAGCUGAAAACGCUUAUUCCGUACAUCGUUGCUCGCCGUACGAUUUCGGGGAGCGCCCGGGCGGCUCCUUCGGCGGACGUGCUCGCGGCGGCAGGGCGACGCGCUGGAGCGGCGCUGCCUCGUCCCGUGGUCGCGGAGCGGGUGUCCCCCACCACGGUGCUCCGCCAGCGACACCGCGGCUGUAGGUGUUAGCAGCUGGGAGGAGAAGGGUUGGCGCCUUUGAUCUCCCUAGUGACUGAAACGAGUGAGCAGCGGUGACAGCCAGCCAAAUGAUUUACCCGAAAGAACACCUUCUAAGGAGUUUUUCAAGACUGUCUUCACCUCCGUGAAUGAAGACCCACAGGAAGAGCCAAUCGGGUGCCCACUGAAGUCAACGAACGGUACUGGUGGCCUUCGAUGGACAUUUGAUAAGACCAGCAAUGGCAGAGCUUUGGCUGCGAAGGUGGAGAGAUACUGGCUCCAACACUGCAGGAAGAUGCCAUACUGUCAUGUGCUAUGGACGAAGGCAUUCAGGACCAGAUCUGCAUGGAAGAGUGCACAGGCUCUUCCUAGCACGCUGACCCUGGGAUACUUCAGCAUGCACUGAGAUGUGACUGGAUGCACAGCAGAUGUUAACCCCAAACGGGAAUUGGCAGUAUCAAAUCUUGAGGAAACAGGUAACUGUAGUCACAAAAACUGUAUCCAGCUCAUGGAGGAAAAUCCACCACUGACUGAAAGGCCUACCCCCAGCUGUGAUUCAGAUACCACUGGAACAGCCACAACAGAUUGCCAGAGUGAGCACUGCUCACUCUGUACUGCUACCAGUACUGCCAGCUCCUGGUAAGGCAAGUUCCAAUCCCUCCUUCUCGUGUACGAGAUGUGCCUUUGGCCUCUUCUACUACGUCAGCUGGAAGAAAGAAUGUCCAGUCUCCUCUGAGAAACAUCUAAUCACCCAAAGAGAGAGCAGAAAAUAGGAGGCUAGAGUGUCAAGGAAAUCAACAGAAGUCUGGAGGGGUACUGGCAAUGCAGUGACGAGAGCCUCCCUUGUAUUGGCAAAUGUUUGUUUAGGUCCCCAAGUUUAUUUUUUCCCAUUACUGUAUAUACUAGGAUUUCUCGUAAUUCACAGAACACAUACAUUCCACAGAUUUUUACAGAUCCUACAGUGUUUUUGAAUUAAAACAUAUGCUACAAAUCAACAGGCUUUUUUCUCAACUGUUGUUGCAAACUUCUACAAAUCUGUGCAGAAAACCCUAUGUAUGUCUAAGACCAGUUAUUCAGAUAUUCUAUACUUACUGC